rnacentral:rRNA from 1 species
UGUAAUCAGUUUUUACUCAACUUACACAUGCAAGUCUCCGCACCCCUGUGAAAACGCCCUCUAACCCUCUAGGGACGAGGAGCUGGUAUCAGGCUCAAUUAUUAGCCCAAGACACCUAGCUUAGCCACACCCACAAGGGCAUUCAGCAGUGAUCAACAUUGACCAUAAGCGAAAGCUUGAUUCAGUCAGAGUAUAUAGGGCCGGCAAACCUGGUGCCAGCCGCCGCGGCUAUACCAUGGGGCCCAAACUGAUUUCUUUCGGCGUAAAGCGUGGUUAAAGUUAUUGUAGACUGUAGUUAUACCAGUACUAAGCUGUGAAAUGCUUGUGACUGAGAGACACAAAAACGAAAGUUA